rnacentral:rRNA from 1 species
AUUGAACGCUGGCGGCAGGCCUAACACAUGCAAGUCGAACGAGUGGCGGACGGGUGAGUAAUGUCUGGGAAACUGCCUGAUGGAGGGGGAUAACUACUGGAAACGGUAGCUACUACCGCAUACCAUCAGAUGUGCCCAGAUGGGAUUAGCUUGUUGGGGGGGUAACGGCUCACCAAGGCGACGAUCCCUAGCUGGUCUGAGAGGAGGACCCGCCACACUGGAACUGAGACACGGGCCAGGCGCCUACGGUAGGCAGCAGGGGGGAAGAUUGCACAAUGGGCGCAAGCCUGAUGCAGCCAUGCCGCGUGUAUGAAGAAGGCCUUCGGGUUGUAAAGUACUUUCAUCGGGGAGGCGUUACCCGCAGAAGAAGCACCGGCUAACUCCGUGCCAGCCGCCGCGGUAAUUC